rnacentral:tRNA from 1 species
AAUUUUUUAGUAUAAUGUAUAUUUGGCUUCCAACCAAAAGGUCUAGGGUCUAGAAAAAUUA